UUGUUGAUUUCAUAUCUAUCAAUUUAGAAUUUUUUAUAUAAAAUUUUGAUUUUUGGUUAAGAAAAGGUAUAUAAAAUUAAUUAUAUAUCUGAUAAAAUUUACGGUAUUUUUUUAAAAGAAAAACCAAUUGGGUGUUCAUUAUGUGAAUGCAAAUUAAAAUUUCAAAGACCUAUAAUUCGUUUAUCUAUUUUUAUAAUAAUUUGGUCAAAGUUAUUCUAUAAAAUAGAUAGCAAAAAUAAAAAUACGCCAAGCAGAUUGUUAUGAUUUUUAUUGAACAUUACAAUUCUUUUUCAAAAAUCAAUUGAGUAUUCCAAAAUUUAUUUAGUGUUUUUAUGCUUAAAACAUUCUUUGAAAUAUUUAUAAAUUUUACAUUUUUAGCAAACAAGAAGAGAACAAGUAGAAGUUUUUUAAAAUAAUUGAAUACAUUAAAAUCAUAUUCAUCAAAGAAGGAGAUAUUAUUUUUGGUGUUUUAAACUUGAGAAUAUGCAUAAACUAAUAAGUUUUUAACAUUAACAUUACUUUUUGUUAUUGCUGCAAUAUAUGUCUAGACUCCUGGAGUUCUAGACAGUUUACAAUUGGCAAAGGUGGUUGAAAUGGAUUAGCAUGGUAUGUUGUUGAAACUAGAAAAGUUAACAUUGUUAAGUAUGAGCUGGAGAAGGUAAGUUGACUUUUAAAGGUGUGGUUCACAUAUUUCAUUUCAGAAAACGUAUCAAUUUCAUUGGCUUUUAUAUUUUUUAAAAUUCAUUUUUAAUGUCAUAUAGGUAUUCUGUUUAGAUAGAGGGAGACUAUGAAAAAUAUCAUCAACAAGCAUUGAAUUUUUAUCUCUUAGUGACAUAAUGGUGGUCAUUUGUUACAAAUGAAUGUGCCUUCAAGAAUUAGCAGGGAGUGUUCUAACACCAAUGACAUCUCUUGAGGCUUGGCAAGGGUUGGUUAUUGUUGUUGGAACUGCAGUUGAAUUGCUUGAAAUUGCUGAAAAGUAAGAACAUCUCUCAUCUGCAAAAGCCACCCCACCAAUUUUUACAUUGUGAAAAGAUUUAUUUGUUUAGGCAGAGAAGAAAGACUAUCUGAGGAUCUUGGAGCCGAUGUUGUCGUCAAUUAUAAGACAGAAGAUUCUGUUGCACGAUUAAAAGAAGAAACAAGAGCGAAAGCCUGCAGGUGUUGAUGUCAUUAUAGAUCAAAUUGUGGGAUUGUACCUUCAGCGAAACCUAAACAGUAUGAUCACAAUCUCCCUCACAACUCAAAGUUGGCAAAUAUUUUCAUUGAUUUAUUAAUAUUAUAUUAGGAAAGAUACACAAUCCCCUCAUAAAGGUUUGGUUGUGCUUUGGCUUUCUUUUCUUUAAAAAGGUUUGGUUGUUGCUUUGACUUUCUUUAACAAUAUAUGUGUGCAACAAUGUUAUGACUAUACGUGAUUGCUUUGUGAUAAUUUAUUUGCUCAUAAGAAGUUUGUAUCUUGCAUUUCUCAUCGAACAAAUACGGAAAAAGAAUCAUAUUGAAAAACGUUUGUCUGAAGAGCUCACUGAAAUAAGGU